rnacentral:rRNA from 1 species
GACGAACGCUGGCGGCGUGCUUAACACAUGCAAGUCGAACGGAAAGGCCCUGCGUUUGUGGGGUGCUCGAGUGGCGAACGGGUGAGUAACACGUGAGUAACCUGCCCUUGACUUUGGGAUAACUUCAGGAAACUGGGGCUAAUACCGGAUAGGAGCUCCUGCUGCAUGGUGGGGGUUGGAAAGUGUCGGCGGUUGGGGAUGGACUCGCGGCUUAUCAGCUUGUUGGUGGGGUUGUGGCUUACCAAGGCUUUGACGGGUAGCCGGCCUGAGAGGGUGACCGGCGACAUUGGGACUGAGAUACGGCCCAGACUCCUACGGGAGGCAGCAGUGGAGAAUAUUGCACAAUGGGCGGAAGCCUGAUGCAGCAACGCCGCGUGCGGGAUGACGGCCUUCGGGUUGUAAACCGCUUUCGCCUGUGACGAAGCGUGAGUGACGGUAAUGGGUAAGGAAGCACCGGCUAACUACGUG